GGUCAAGUGAAGAAGCGCAUACGGUGGAUGCCUUGGCAGUCAGAGGCGAUGAAAGACGUGGUAGCCUGCGAAAAGCUUCGGGGAGUCGGCAAACAGACUUUGAUCCGGAGAUCUCUGAAUGGGGGAACCCACCUAGGAUAACCUAGGUAUCUUGUACUGAAUCCAUAGGUGCAAGAGGCGAACCAGGGGAACUGAAACAUCUAAGUACCCUGAGGAAAAGAAAUCAACCGAGAUUCCCUUAGUAGUGGCGAGCGAACGGGGAUUAGCCCUUAAGCUUCAUUGAUUUUAGCGGAACGCUCUGGAAAGUGCGGCCAUAGUGGGUGAUAGCCCCGUACGCGAAAGGAUCUUUGAAGUGAAAUCGAGUAGGACGGAGCACGAGAAACUUUGUCUGAACAUGGGGGGACCAUCCUCCAAGGCUAAAUACUACUGACUGACCGAUAGUGAACCAGUACCGUGAGGGAAAGGCGAAAAGAACCCCGGAGAGGGGAGUGAAAUAGAACCUGAAACCGUAUGCGUACAAGCAGUGGGAGCCUACUUGUUAGGUGACUGCGUACCUUUUGUAUAAUGGGUCAGCGACUUAUAUUCAGUGGCAAGCUUAACCGUAUAGGGUAGGCGUAGCGAAAGCGAGUCUUAAUAGGGCGUUUAGUCGCUGGGUAUAGACCCGAAACCGGGCGAUCUAUCCAUGAGCAGGUUGAAGGUUAGGUAACACUGACUGGAGGACCGAACCCACUCCCGUUGAAAAGGUAGGGGAUGACUUGUGGAUCGGAGUGAAAGGCUAAUCAAGCUCGGAGAUAGCUGGUUCUCCUCGAAAGCUAUUUAGGUAGCGCCUCAUGUAUCACUCUGGGGGGUAGAGCACUGUUUCGGCUAGGGGGUCAUCCCGACUUACCAAACCGAUGCCAAACUCCGAAUACCCAGAAGUGCCGAGCAUGGGAGACACACGGGGGUGCUAACGUCCGUCGUGAAAGGGAAACAACCCAGACCGCCAGCUAAGGUCCCAAAGUUGUGGUUAAGUGGUAAACGAUGUGGGAAGGCUUAGACAGCUAGGAGGUUGGCUUAGAAGCAGCCACCCUUUAAAGAAAGCGUAAUAGCUCACUAGUCGAGUCGGCCUGCGCGGAAGAUGUAACGGGGCUCAAACCACACACCGAAGCUGCGGGUGUCACGUAAGUGACGCGGUAGAGGAGCGUUCUGUAAGCCUGUGAAGGUGAGUUGAGAAGCUUGCUGGAGGUAUCAGAAGUGCGAAUGCUGACAUGAGUAACGACAAUGGGUGUGAAAAACACCCACGCCGAAAGACCAAGGGUUCCUGCGCAACGUUAAUCGACGCAGGGUUAGUCGGUUCCUAAGGCGAGGCUGAAAAGCGUAGUCGAUGGGAAACAGGUUAAUAUUCCUGUACUUCUGGUUACUGCGAUGGAGGGGACGGAGAAGGCUAGGCCAGCUUGGCGUUGGUUGUCCAAGUUUAAGGUGGUAGGCUGAAAUCUUAGGUAAAUCCGGGGUUUCAAGGCCGAGAGCUGAUGACGAGUCGUCUUUUAGAUGACGAAGUGGUUGAUGCCAUGCUUCCAAGAAAAGCUUCUAAGCUUCAGGUAACCAGGAACCGUACCCCAAACCGACACAGGUGGUCGGGUAGAGAAUACCAAGGCGCUUGAGAGAACUCGGGUGAAGGAACUAGGCAAAAUGGCACCGUAACUUCGGGAGAAGGUGCGCCGGCUAGGGUGAAGGAUUUACUCCGUAAGCUCUGGCUGGUCGAAGAUACCAGGCCGCUGCGACUGUUUAUUAAAAACACAGCACUCUGCAAACACGAAAGUGGACGUAUAGGGUGUGACGCCUGCCCGGUGCCGGAAGGUUAAUUGAUGGGGUUAGCGCAAGCGAAGCUCUUGAUCGAAGCCCCGGUAAACGGCGGCCGUAACUAUAACGGUCCUAAGGUAGCGAAAUUCCUUGUCGGGUAAGUUCCGACCUGCACGAAUGGCGUAACGAUGGCGGCGCUGUCUCCACCCGAGACUCAGUGAAAUUGAAAUCGCUGUGAAGAUGCAGUGUAUCCGCGGCUAGACGGAAAGACCCCGUGAACCUUUACUGUAGCUUUGCACUGGACUUUGAGCCUGCUUGUGUAGGAUAGGUGGGAGGCUUUGAAGCGUGGACGCCAGUUCGCGUGGAGCCAUCCUUGAAAUACCACCCUGGCAUGCUUGAGGUUCUAACUCUGGUCCGUGAUCCGGAUCGAGGACAGUGUAUGGUGGGCAGUUUGACUGGGGCGGUCUCCUCCUAAAGAGUAACGGAGGAGUACGAAGGUGCGCUCAGACCGGUCGGAAAUCGGUCGCAGAGUAUAAAGGCAAAAGCGCGCUUGACUGCGAGACAGACACGUCGAGCAGGUACGAAAGUAGGUCUUAGUGAUCCGGUGGUUCUGUAUGGAAGGGCCAUCGCUCAACGGAUAAAAGGUACUCCGGGGAUAACAGGCUGAUACCGCCCAAGAGUUCAUAUCGACGGCGGUGUUUGGCACCUCGAUGUCGGCUCAUCACAUCCUGGGGCUGAAGCCGGUCCCAAGGGUAUGGCUGUUCGCCAUUUAAAGUGGUACGCGAGCUGGGUUUAGAACGUCGUGAGACAGUUCGGUCCCUAUCUGCCGUGGACGUUUGAGAUUUGAGAGGGGCUGCUCCUAGUACGAGAGGACCGGAGUGGACGAACCUCUGGUGUUCCGGUUGUCACGCCAGUGGCAUUGCCGGGUAGCUAUGUUCGGAAAAGAUAACCGCUGAAAGCAUCUAAGCGGGAAACUUGCCUCAAGAUGAGAUCUCACUGGGAACUUGAUUCCCCUGAAGGGCCGUCGAAGACUACGACGUUGAUAGGCUGGGUGUGUAAGCGUUGUGAGGCGUUGAGCUAACCAGUACUAAUUGCCCGUGAGGCUUGACCAU
rnacentral:rRNA from 1 species